rnacentral:SRP_RNA from 1 species
GCCGGGCGUGGUGGCGGCGCCUGUGGUCCCAGCUACUCGGGAGGCUGAGGCAGGAGAAUGGCGGGAACCCGGGAGGCUGAGCUUGCAGGGAGCCGAGAUCGCGCCACUGCACUCCAGCCUGGGCGACAGAGCGAGACUCCGUCUAAAAAAAAAAAAAACAGACAAACUAAUACUGUGAAAUUUUUAAAAUACUUACCCCAUUUAAAUUUUUACUUUUAUUUAUUUAUUUUUUGAGACGGAGUCUUGCUCUGUCGCCCAGGCUGGAGUGCAGUGGCGCGAUCUCGGCUCCCUGCAAGCUCAGCCUCCCGGGUUCCCGCCAUUCUCCUGCCUCAG